AAGUCGUAACAAGGUUUCCGCUGAAGGAUCAUUAAUCCAACCCUGUGAACCUUCAUUGUGCUCCCCCAUUCCGUUAGGACGCGGCAAUCCCUGGUAAAUCAUCGCCGAACAGUUUUGAUUCAGGGCAGCGCGAGGCAAGUGGCCUGGCAUUCGAAAGGAUGGCGCAGUAACGAUCGCUAGAGGCCGACACGGCCGGCGACCGGGUCACUGGGCUCACCCUAUCACCUUUGCAUGAAAACGGGCCUGCGCUUAAUUGUGCGGCCACCAAACUCGAACAACUGUUAACAAUGGAUAUCUUGGUUCUC
rnacentral:misc_RNA from 1 species